CCUCCACUUCUCCUCCCCACCCCCCAUUUUCCCCCACUUGCUCCAGCCUCACCCAGGCUUGCUUUUGCUUAGUAACUACACUAGUAGUAGGAGCACUUCACUUUCUCCACCAAUCCCAUUUCCAUUUUCCCCUUCUCUCCCAGCCCCGAGACCCCCCAGAGAAUUCUUGACACAAAAGUUAAAACAAACCCAAAAGGGGAAAAUGAAAAUAAAUACUAGUAGUACUAGUACCAUCAAUUAAAACUCUAAUGCUCAUUCCAUUUAAUCCAUCCAUCAGUUAAACGAGUUUAAAUUGGAGAAAAGAUAUAGGAAAAAGAAAAAAAGAUCCAGCUUACAGGGAAAGAAGCAAAGGUGCUUGGAAAUCUGUCAAUCUAGUACUAGUGCUAUAUUUGUACUAAAUGUCUUCGACGCCACCAACGACCAUGCCGCCGGCGUCUACCGCACCGGCUGCAGUGGCGGUGCCGGCAACGGCGGCGGCUACUACGACGACGACGACGACCACCGCCACCACCCCCAGUGGGGCGGGACCUGCCUUGACUGCGCCUGAGAGGGUCCCAGUGGAGCGGUCUAAAGGGAUCAAUGGCCUUGAUAAAAUCGUCCUCCGGGAAGUCCGCGGCAGCUCCGCUGAGGUGUACCUGUAUGGGGGUCACGUGACAUCUUGGAAGAAUGACCAUGGAGAGGAGUUGCUCUUUCUCAGUAGCAAGGCUAUAUUCAAACCUCCAAAGGCCAUUCGUGGAGGCAUUCCAAUAUGCUUCCCUCAAUUCUCGAAUCUUGGCUCUCUGGAGCAGCAUGGAUUUGCUAGAAACAGGUUUUGGACCAUUGAUACUGACCCCCCUCCUUUUCCAACUGGCACCCCUCCUAAGGCUUUCGUUGACUUGAUUCUUAAGCCUACUGAUGAAGACUUGAAGAUUUGGUCUCACAGUUUUGAGUUUCGCUUGAGGAUUAGUUUGUCACCUGCCGGUGACUUGAUGUUGACAUCCCGCAUCAGAAAUACCAACUCUGAUGGGAAGCCCUUCACCUUUACAUUUGCAUAUCACACCUAUUUCUCAGUUUCAGAUAUCAGUGAAGUUCGUGUUGAAGGAUUGGAGACUCUGGAUUAUCUUGAUAAUUUGCAGAAUAAGGAGCGAUUUACUGAACAAGGGGAUGCAAUAACUUUUGAAUCUGAAGUGGACAAGAUCUACCUUGGAACACCUACAAAGAUUGCAAUCCUGGAUCAUGAAAAGAAAAGAACAUUUGUCUUGCGUAAAGAUGGACUUCCUGAUGCUGAGUUUGUGUUCUUAUAAACUUUCAAGGUUGAGAAUUCUCGCAUUACAACCCCCCACGCUAAUCCGAUGUUCUGGUCCUUUUCUGGGAAAGUAAUUAGCUGUUGCAUCUUUGUGGAUUUUCUUUGUACAGUGGUGUGGAAUCCUUGGGAGAAGAAAGCAAAGGCGAUGGCUGAUUUUGGGGACGAGGAAUACAAGCAUAUGCUAUGUGUGGAGGCGGCUGCUGUUGAAAAGCCAAUCACUUUAAGGCCUGGUGAGGAGUGGAGAGGAAGGCAAGAGCUUUCUGCUGUUCCUUCAAGUUACUGCAGUGGGCAGCUUGAUCCUCGGAGAGUUCUUCAGGGCAGCUAAAAAAUGGGUUGUGCUAAUUCAUAUGAUGUACAGGUGCUGAGUUGAAGUAUACUGUUGGGAGUGCAAUGGCUACCUCUGUCCCAGACUCUUUCCUGUGUUAUCCUUGGUUAAUUUUGUUUACCUUGGGUAGGAGGUUGGAGAAACUGUCUAAUAAUCUUUUGAGUAUUUGGAUACGAGACUGUUUGGAUGCCAAUCCUGUUAUAUAUUUAGGAAAGGCAGCAAGUCGGGUCCUUGCGUAAUCAGGGGUGUCUGAACUCUUAACCUGAUUAUUUAUGUUUUAACCGAACUCUUGAGUUGGGACCCGAUUGGAUGAAGCUAUUAUUAUCAUUCAUGAAUUUAGCUGCUUUUGAGUAGGGUUGUAUCUAUUUGCACGCUGAGGAACUUAUCUCAAGCAGCGUAGAAAUUUGACUGCAUCAAAUCGGGCCUUUAAAUUGAGGUAUUGAAGAGGUGCAGAAAAUAAUAUUAAUGUGUAUAUUGUC